UACGGAAGGCAGCAGUGGGGAAUAUUGCACAAUGGGCGAAAGCCUGAUGCAGCUAUGCCGCGUGUAUGAAGAAGGCCUUAGGGUUGUAAAGUACUUUCAUCGGGGAGGAAAAAACAAAACUAAUAAUUUUAUUUCUUGACGUUACCCGAAAAAGAAGCACCGGCUAACUCCGUGCCAGCAGCCGCGGUAAUACGGAGGGUGCUAGCGUUAAUCAGAAUUACUGGGCGUAAAGAGCACGUAGGUGGUUUUUUUAAAGUCAGAUGUGAAAUCCCUGGGCUUAACCUGGAACUGCAUUUUGAAACUGAAAUACUAGAGUAUCGUAGAGGGAGGUAGAAUUCUAGGUGUAGCGGUGAAAUGCGUAGAUAUCUGGAGGAAUACCUGUGGCGAAAGCGGCCUCCUAAACGAAUACUGACACUGAGGUGCGAAAGCGUGGGGAGCAAAACAGGGAUUAGAUACC
rnacentral:rRNA from 1 species